rnacentral:rRNA from 1 species
GCGCAGCAGUCGCGAAAACUCCGCAAUACGCGAAAGCGUGACGGGGCUACCCCGAGUGUCGUCCGCUGAGGACGACUUUUCCACUCUGUAAGGAGCUGUGGGAAUAAGGAGAGGGCAAGUCUGGUGUCAGCCGCCGCGGUAAUACCAGCUCUCCGAGUGGUAGGGAUGAUUAUUGGGCUUAAAGCGUCCGUAGCCGGCUCAACAAGUCUCCCGUUAAAUCCAACGAUUCAAUCGUUGGAUUGCGGGGGAUACUGAUGAGCUAGGAGGCGGGAGAGGCCAACGGUAUUCCCGGAGUAGGGGUGAAAUCUUAUAAUUCCGGGAGG